GGAAGUAAAAGUCGUAACAAGGUUUCCGUAGGUGAACCUGCGGAAGGAUCAUUGUCAAAACCUUGUAUAGAAAGACUUGCGAACAUGCAUGACCAACUCAGGGAGAUCAAGUACCUCUAUAGAGUCUUGGAUCCCUGCAUUUGUGCUUGGGGGGGGUGGGGUUUUUGUCCACUCCCGUCAACACAAAAAAUGAACCCCGGCGCUGAAUGCGUCAAGGAAUAUGAAAAAAACAAAAUGACUUGCACCGCCAUUGCCCCGGAGACGGUGUGUUGUGACGGUUGCUUUGUUAUUGGUUUUAUGUUAUAACAACUCUCGGCAACGGAUAUCUCGGCUCUCGCAUCGAUGAAGAACGUAGCGAAAUGCGAUACUUGGUGUGAAUUGCAGAAUCCCGUGAACCAUCGAGUCUUUGAACGCAAGUUGCGCCCGAAGCCAUCCGGUUGAGGGCAUGUCUGCCUGGGCGUCACACAUCGUUGCCCCCCCCAAUUAUCCCACUUCACUCCCAUUGGGUGUGUUAGGUCUUUGAUUGGGUGUGGCGGAAGAUGACCUCCCAUGUGUGCAAUCAUGUGGUUGGUUCAAAAUCAAGUUUGUGGUCACAUCAUCGUGACGUUAGGUGGUUUUUGACAACCUUGACGUACCUCGUUGCGUGUGUACAACCACGACUUAAGAUCCUACAAAGCUCCAAGUCUUGGAUGCUACCAAUGCGACCCCAGGUCAGGCAGGGCUACCCGCUGAGUUUAAACAUAUCAAUAAGCGGAGGA
rnacentral:rRNA from 1 species